rnacentral:rRNA from 1 species
CAUGCAUGUCUAGUAUAGCAUUAUACCGUGAAACUGCGAAUGGCUCAUUAAAUCAGUUAUCGUUUAUUUGAUAGUACCUUACUACUUGGAUAACCGUGGUAAUUCUAGAGCUAAUACAUGCUAAAAACCCCAACUUCGGGAGGGGUGUAUUUAUUAGAUAAAAAACCAAUGCCCUUCGGGGCUCCUUGGUGAUUCAUGAUAACUUCUCAGAUCGCAUAGCCUUGUGCUGGCGACGGUUCAUUCAAAUUUCUGCCCUAUCAACUUUCGAUGGUAAGGUAGUGGCUUACCAUGGUUUCAACGGGUAACGGGGAAUUAGGGUUCGAUUCCGGAGAGGGAGCCUGAGAAACGGCUACCACAUCCAAGGAAGGCAGCAGGCGCGCAAAUUACCCAAUUCCGAUGCGGAGAGGUAGUGACAAUAAAUACUGAUACAGGGCUCUUUUGGGUCUUGUAAUUGGAAUGAGUACAAUUUAAACCUCUUAACGAGGAACAAUUGGAGGGCAAGUCUGGUGCCAGCAGCCGCGGUAAUUCCAGCUCCAAUAGCGUAUAUUAAAGUUGUUGCAGUUAAAAAGCUCGUAGUUGAACCUUUGGCCUGGCUGGCAGGUCCGCCUCACCGCGUGCACUUGUCCGGCCGGGCCUUUUCUUCUGGAGAACCGCAUGCCCUUCACUGGGUGUGUUGGGGACCAGGACUUUUACUUUGAAAAAAUUAGAGUGUUCAAAGCAGGCCUUUGCUCGAAUACGUUAGCAUGGAAUAAUAGAAUAGGACGUGCGGUCCUAUUUUGUUGGUUUCUAGGACCGCCGUAAUGAUUAAUAGGGACAGUCGGGGGCAUCAGUAUUCAAUUGUCAGAGGUGAAAUUCUUGGAUUUAUUGAAGACUAACUACUGCGAAAGCAUUUGCCAAGGAUGUUUUCAUUAAUCAGUGAACGAAAGUUAGGGGAUCGAAGACGAUCAGAUACCGUCGUAGUCUUAACCAUAAACUAUGCCGACUAGGGAUCGGGCGGUGUUUCUAUUGUGACCCGCUCGGCACCUUACGAGAAAUCAAAGUGUUUGGGUUCUGGGGGGAGUAUGGU